UCGGAGACGGUGCUCGUGCGGGCGGUGAUGCGACACGCGUAUCCGAAAGACUCUCGGCAACGGAUAUCUCGGCUCUUGCAUCGAUGAAGAACGUAGCGAAAUGCGAUACUUGGUGUGAAUUGCAGAAUCCCGUGAACCAUCGAGUCUUUGAACGCAAGUUGCGCCCGAAGCCAUUUGGCCGAGGGCACGCCUGCCUGGGUGUCGCCCAUCGUUGCCCCAGUGCCUUGGCCUCGUGCUAGGCACCGAGCUGGGCGAAUGCUGGCUUCCCGUGAGCAACGCCUCACGGUUGGUUGAAAACUGAGUCCGUGGUGGAGGGGCGCCGUGACGGAUGGUGGUUGAG
rnacentral:rRNA from 1 species